rnacentral:lncRNA from 1 species
GGCAACUGUAGCAGAAUGGAAAGUAUUUAUGUAUCUAAACAUAGAAAAAUAUAUAGUAAAAAUACAGCAUUGUAAUCAUAUAUGUGGGCCAUUAGGUGAUGCAUAACUGUAAUAUCUAAUAUUUAAUUUAUUAGAUAGUUAUCUCAAACAUUUAGUAUCUAGUAAAUAAACUUAUUUUAUAUUACUAUCUAGGGGACUUAUUUGAAAAUUACUGCAGAAAUGAUGACCUGGUAACAUUUGGAAGAUUUUGUUAUGGUGUCACUGUCAUUUUGACAUACCCUAUGGAAUGCUUUGUGACAAGAGAGGUAAUUGCCAAUGUGUUUUUUGGUGGGAAUCUUUCAUCGGUUUUCCACAUUGUUGUAACAGUGAUGGUCAUCACUGUAGCCACGCUUGUGUCAUUGCUGAUUGAUUGCCUCGGGAUAGUUCUAGAACUCAAUAUCUUUCUUUUAUAGUCUGCACUGCCAUCAACCAAAUAGAAGUCCUCAUAAUAUCACAGUUGAAUUAAUCCCAGCUCUGUUUCAACUAUCAUGUAUUUAAGUUCUGCUUUCAGUUUAUCGGCAUUUUCCUACCAGAGGUGUGCUCUGUGCAACUCCCCUCAUUUUUAUCAUUCCAUCAGCCUGUUAUCUGAAACUGUCUGAAGAACCAAGGACACACUCCGAUAAGAUUAUGUCUUGUGUCAUGCUUCCCAUUGGUGCU